rnacentral:rRNA from 1 species
UACGGAGGGUGCAAGCGUUAAUCGGAAUCACUGGGCGUAAAGGGCGCGUAGGCGGCGCGACAAGUCAGGCGUGAAGCCCCGGGCUCAACCCGGGAAUUGCGCUUGAUACUGUCGUGCUUGAGGCCGGGAGAGGAUGGCGGAAUUCCCAGUGUAGAGGUGAAAUUCGUAGAUAUUGGGAAGAACACCGGUGGCGAAGGCGGCCAUCUGGACCGGUUCUGACGCUGAGGCGCGAAAGCGUGGGGAGCAAACAGG